rfam:Trachymyrmex zeteki contig9628, whole genome shotgun sequence.
GCCUCGGUGGUCUAAUGGCUCAGGACGCUCGGAAUACAAGAGAUCCGGGUUCGAUUCCCGGCCGAGGUA